GUUCAGGCUUGUUCAACAUGGCCUUGUAUUUUAAUGGUAAUGAUGACUUCUUGAAGAAUGGGUACAAGGACCCAGCUAGGACAAUUAAAAUCUUUCUAUAAACUUUUCCUUUGGAAAUUAUGGCAAACACAACCUGUCUUUCUUUUAGAUGACUAGGUGGAGCAGAGAAUUUUAUUUAGAGAUUCUGGAUGCCAUCUUUCUUUUCUUCAUUGUUGUAAGAACAUUUAACAUGAGAUCUGCUUUAGUGUAAAGUGCUAUUAACCAUAGGUAUCAUGUUGUUCAGCUGAGUUCAAGAACUGGAUCAUCUUUCAUAACUGGGACUUUAUACUGACUGAGAAUUCUUCAAAUCAAGGACUUCAAAUUCUUCCAAUCAAGGAGAUGACUCCUUAAUUCCAAAGGACAAAAUAAGAAUAAAAAUAUAUAAAUUAUAAAUCAAUACUAGUUUAAAUUGAGCCCAUACUGAAAAGUAUUACUUCUAAAAGAAAGGAAUGCUACUCUUUUUUGUAAAUGAGAAGCACUUUGCCAUGAUUUUCAGCCUUGUAGACACAAUCUAUCCAUUGGAGUGAUGAGUUUCCCAAAUAAGACAAAGGCCUCAAAUGUUAUGCUGAUUUUGCUCAGAUUAAGAGCAUGGACAUCUCUUUAGCCUCUCAGAAAUCACAAAGCUGUGUCCAUCUUCUCACUGUCUCACCUGUUGGAGUCUCAUUUAUCAGCAUGACUCUCAGGAUUCCAGUGGAUCAA